AGUCUAGUAGUAGUAGUAAUAAUAAUAAUAAUAAGUAUUAUUUCUUUGAUUUUUUGUGCCAGUUGCUUGAGUCUAGUAAUAGUAGUAGUAGUAAUAAUAAUAAUAAUAAUAAUAAUAAUUUAAAAUAUUACUACUUUGAUUUUUUGUGCCAGUUGCUUAAGUCUAGUAAUAAUAGUAAUAAUAAUAAUAUAAAGUAUUACUUCUUUGAUUUUUUUGUGCCAGUAGCUUGAAUAUAGUAGUAGUAGUAGUACUAGUAAUAAUAAUAAUAAUAAUAAUAAUAAUAUAAAGUAUUAUUUCUUUGAUUUGUUUUGUGCCAGUUGUUUGAGUCGGUAGUAGUAGUAAUAAUAAUAAUAAUAAUAAUAAUUUAAAAUAUUAUUACUUGGAUUUUUUGUGCCAGUUGCUUAAGUCUAGUAAUAAUCAUAAUAAUAAUUUAAAAUAUUAUUUCUUUGAUUUUUUUGUGCCAGUUGUUUGAGUCUAGGAGUAGUAGUAGUAAUAAUAAUAAUAAUUUAAAAUAUUAUUUCUUUGAUUUUUUUGUGCCAAUUGCUCGAGUCUAGUAAUAGUAGUAGUAAUAAUAUUAAUGACAACAACAUCAUUCCACUUGAGGAACCAACAGGUUUCCUCCGACUGUUGGUUCUUCCUUUUUCUUCCCGACCGCACCGUCCCGAAAUUGCCCAAAUUUCUCCGUCUGGAGCCUUGAGCAAGGACUUCCUCUCCGUCCGAAGAGGAAGAAGUUGUUUUACAACGUCAACGUUCGCUCGGGAAGGUCGAUCCAGUUCCUCGCUCUUCUUGGAUCCAGAACGAGGAUGGAAACUCCGGCGAGAAGAGCCCUUCUCUUGCUCCAAGCAGGCCUGUGCUUUGCCUCCUUUGCUGUGGGGAGCCGGGUCAUCGGUGGCCAGGAAGCCAGGCCGCACUCGUGGCCCUUCAUGGCCUCCAUCCAGCUCAACGGGGAGAACUUCUGUGGCGGAGUCUUGGUCCAGCGCCGGUGGGUCCUGACCGCUGCUCACUGCCUGAUUCCCCGGUUGCCCAUGGUGCGCGUGGUGCUGGGCGCCCACAACCUCACGGCGCCCGAGGCCUCCCAGCAAGUCUUCAGCAUCCAGGCCUCGGUGGCCCACCAGCGCUACGACCCCGUCACGGUCCAGAACGAUAUCCGCCUGCUCAAGUUGAACCAGUCUGCCCGUUUCACCCGCGAGGUCCAGCGAGUCCGGCUCCCACGGAAAAACAGCCGCCUCCGCCCCGGCUCCGCCUGCAAAGUGGCCGGCUGGGGGGACACCUCGAACUUCGGGACCUUCCCCUCCACGCUGAUGGAGGCCAACGUGACAGUGAUUGACAGGAGCGCCUGCAACACAACCUGGGCCGGCCGCGUCCACGGCAAGAUGCUCUGCGCCUCCCACAGCAGCCCCACUCUGCGCGGAUUCUGCUCCUCUUUCAUGACCAGAAUCGCUGGCUUGCUGUGAGUUUUCUGGGCUGUCUGUCCAUGUCCCGGAAGCAUUCUCUCCUGACGUUUUGCCUGCCCUAUGUUUGCUUUGCGCCCCUGUUUUCGUACAACUUGCUUUGCCGUCCUUCUCGUCAUUGUCGGGGGGACUCCGGGGGCCCCCUUGUGUGCGGGGCCCGUGCCCACGGCGUGGUCUCCUUCAACGGGAGGAGGUGCGGGGACCGCCGGCGCCCCGACGUCUACACUCA